rnacentral:lncRNA from 1 species
AAGCGACCACGGUGCAGUAAUCUACUUGUUUCUUUUGUUCCCCCCUCCCUCCAGAGGAUGUUUGUAAGCAGGCAGUCAUAGAGAAUACAGAAAUAAAAAGAGGGGGUUGGGUAUGUGAGCUGUUUUACUAAAAGCAGACAAAGGGAUUUAUUACAACUACUUGAAAGGACACUGUGGAGAGGUUGGUGCUGGUCUCUUCUCGCAGGUAAUUAACAACAGAACAAGAGGGAACGGCUUCAAGCUCCAACAGGGUAGGUUUAGACUGAACAUUAGGAAGGAAUUUUUCACUGAAAGAGUGGUCGGGCAUUGGAGUAGGCUGCCCAGGGAGGUGGUUGAGUCACCAUCCCUGGAUGUGUUUAAGGGACGUUUAGAUGCGGUACUGAGGGAUAUGGUGUAGGGGAGGACUUUGUAGAGUAGGGUAGAUGGUUGGACUCGAUGAUCCCAAGGGUCUCUUCCAACCUGAACGAUUCUAUGAUUCUAUGAUUCUAUGACCUCACAGCUGCUGACAGGGCGACAGCCACGUGUCACCCCUGCAUCACAGACACAGGCUGGUAUUUAUACAGGAGCUGAGCCAGGCCCAGCAGCAGUCUGCCUCUGAGCCUCUGGGUGAAAAUACAGGGAGAACAGGGAAGGAGGAGCAGGUGAAAUCAUGCCUGGGGCUGGCCACUCCUCAGAGUCUCCUUGUCUCUCCAUGGCAAGUUCCAGGCACGCCGUGCUCGGAGGAAUAAGCCCGGAGGCCUUAAUCGUUUCCCACACUUUCGUGGGGGCACUGGUGGCCCUGCUGAUGUUCUGCUUCCUGGAGAUCAUGGGCUGGACCCCGGGAGCGACACCACGGAAGUGCCGAUGUGGAGGCAAGAAGGGGAAAGGCCGAGGUGUGCAGCCCCGGGGCAAGGGCCAGCGCCCUGCGAAGACCCCACCUGUCCCCACGUGCCCACUGCCCCAACCGGGGAUGGCCUCUCCCCUCACUCUGUCCCCUGGGUCUUCAGACUCUGUCCUCCUGGAGCCUUCACAGCCCUUGAGGAUGAACUGGCCCAUGCACCCAGACGUGGAUGGUUGGAGUGAAGCAGUCGAGCAAUUAAACAGGACUCUCAAGGACUUUGAAAGACACCUGGAAUCGUCCAACUGUGAGACCGUUGAAGGCAGAGACAGCUCUCUAACUUCCACCAUGGGCCUCACCCAUGAAUCCACACUGGAGCAAGAACUGGACCUGACGGUGACUGUAAAAACUCUACAAGAUGUUCCAGCCUCAGCUCCUCCUAGACCCCACCAACCAGAAAACCGUGGUGUGGUGGUUCCGAUCGUGUUGGAUCCGCCCUUCCUGGAUGAGGCUGCGAAAAGGGACCUAGAGGCUCUCAUUUCAAAAAUGAAAAUCCAGAGGCGCUAUGGGCUGCAAAGGUGGAUCCUGGAUUGUGAGCCGUGCUUUGAAUUUAUCGAGCGGAAAUUGAAAGACUCUGGGACUUUCCCUCCAGAGGAACACCUGGGCUGCCCUAGCAGAUCAAAGGCAGAUGAACAGAGUCCUCCUCUGACCAACAGUGUGCACCAGCAAAAUGGAGAGAUCCAGCUGCCUCCUCCUGCUCCACGUUGAAAUAAAAGUGCUGGUUUUGUUCUAUUCA